rnacentral:tRNA from 1 species
GAGAAUGUGGUGUAAUGGCAACACACUGCGCCAGGGACGCAGAGACGCGGUUCGAAUCCGACAUUUUCA